rfam:Hordeum vulgare subsp. vulgare, WGS project CAJW01000000 data, contig: morex_contig_40782
UUAAUACUCCCUCUGUCCAGAAUUACUUGUCGCAGAAAUGGAUAGAAAUGGAUUUAUCUAGAACUAAAAUACGUCUAGAUACAUACAUUUCUAUGACAAGUAAUUCUGGACGGAAGAGUGCUAA